rnacentral:rRNA from 1 species
GAUGAACGCUGACAGAAUGCUUAACACAUGCAAGUCAACUUGAACUUCGGUUUGGGUGGCGGACGGGUGAGUAACGCGUAAAGAACUUGCCUCACAGAUAGGGACAACAUUUGGAAACGAAUGCUAAUACCUGAUAUUAUGAUUUUAGGGCAUCCUAGGAUUAUGAAAGCUACAUGCGCUGUGAGAGAGCUUUGCGUCCCAUUAGCUAGUUGGAGAGGUAACGGCUCACCAAGGCGAUGAUGGGUAGCCGGCCUGAGAGGGUGAUCGGCCACAAGGGGACUGAGACACGGCCCUUACUCCUACGGGAGGCAGCAGUGGGGAAUAUUGGACAAUGGACCAAGAGUCUGAUCCAGCAAUUCUGUGUGCACGAUGAAGUUUUUCGGAAUGUAAAGUGCUUUCAGUUGGGAAGAAAAAAAUGACGGUACCAACAGAAGAAGUGACGGCUAAAUACGUGCCAGCAGCCGCGGUAAUACGUAUGUCACAAGCGUUAUCCGGAUUUAUUGGGCGUAAAGCGCGUCUAGGUGGUUAUGUAAGUCUGAUGUGAAAAUGCAGGGCUCAACUCUGUAUUGCGUUGGAAACUGUGUAACUAGAGUACUGGAGAGGUAAGCGGAACUACAAGUGUAGAGGUGAAAUUCGUAGAUAUUUGUAGGAAUGCCGAUGGGGAAGCCAGCUUACUGGACAGAUACUGACGCUGAAGCGCGAAAGCGUGGGUAGCAAACAGG